CGGCGUCCCGUCGGGGACAGGGUGACAGGUGGUGCAUGGUUGUCGUCAGCUCGUGUCGUGAGAUGUUGGGUUAAGUCCCGCAACGAGCGCAACCCUACGUUAGUUGCUAACGCGUGAAGGCGAGCACUCUAGACGAACUGCCGUUGACAAAACGGAGGAAGGUGGGAUGACGUCAAAUCAUCAUGCCCCUUAUGUUCUGGGCUACACACGUGCUACAAUGGCCGGUACAGACGGACGCAAAGCCGCGAGGUGGAGCAAAUCCUAAAAAGCCGGUCUCAGUUCGGAUUGCAGGCUGCAAUUCGCCUGCAUGAAGUCGGAAUCGCUAGUAAUCGCAGGUCAGCAUACUGCGGUGAAUACGUUCCCGGGCCUU
rnacentral:rRNA from 1 species